CUCAGAACCGUCAUUAAAUCCUGCCGGGGGUGGCAAGUGGGAGUAGGGAGGUGCUCCUUGGUGCCACUUUGCAGCCACUAAGAUGUCCUCUCUGAGCUUUUCUGAGAAGGCAGCUCCUGCAGUCAGAGGGAUGGAGGUUGCUGGCAGCCAUUGCUGCUGCCUGGAGGAUGGGUCUCUGAGGGGCCAGGGGGCCCUGGGCAGGUGCUGGGGGCCUGUGGGUAGUAGGUCAGGCUCUGCAGGACACAGUGCUGUGAGUUACAGGACUUCUGCGUGCCAAGGCACUGGGCCAGAUCGCCCCUUCCCCAUUUGUGCCCCUUUGUGACCCUCUCUGUCCCAAUCUCUGGUCACCUCCAGGAAGAGAACCUGGAAAUUCUGCUUCGGUGGCUGAAGUAGAUGUCACUGACUUCCCGAUGGUCAAAAGUGAGCAACACUUUACAGUUUAUAAAGCAGUUUCACAUCCAUUCCCUGGUUUGAUUUGAUCUUUGCAACUGUUGGUAAGGAUAGCGCUGUGGCUAAUCCCUCCACCCCCAACUGCCUGGAGAGAAGAGGAAGUCGAGCAUCAGGAGUUGCGUAAAUUGCCCUCAGCGGCGAGAGGAGGCCGGAGUCCCAGACUCCAUUUCCAGUGCCUUCCGGGCACCCUUGGCCUUUCCCCAGCCUCUCCCCACCCGGACUCUUCAUCUCGCUGAUUGAGGUAAUGAGCUCCUUUAGCCCGAGCCAAGUGUGAGGUUAGGCUUCCAGGAUAGGACUCUGUAGUCAGGCAGAAAACAGGUCAAGGGUCAGGACUUUUUCCCCAGAACCCCGGGGGGCAAGCUCUGAGCCCCCCUCACUGGUGUGGGGGAUUUGGAGUAGGAUGACCAUAUAAUUAGUCAUCCAGAUUAGAACACUUUAGAGAAUGAAAGGGAGCGCUAUUAGUAAUGACUCCAUGGCUACAGCCGUGAACAGGGAGGUGAGGUCACUAUUAUGAUAUCACCUGCCCAGCCCCUUCUCCACCUCCACAGCCUCGGACCCCCAGACCUGAUGCAGAACAUCGGCCAUUUACUGGGCAUUUAGCAGUGCUGGACACUCUGUAGAGCUUGUUGUAUUAGAUUUCCAUGACAACGUGUGGCUGAUCCACUUAUUGUUCCCAUUUUAUUAAUACAGAGACUGAGGCCCAGAAGACUCUUGCCCAAGAACACACAGCUGAUGAGAAAACUGAGGCCACUUGCCCUCCAUUAUGCAGCUGGUAAGUGGUAGAGCCAGGGCCACCCAGUUGGCUUCACCAUCGUGCAGUUUGUCCUUGAGGAAGAGGAUGCUGCUGGCCCAGUGGUGGAGUCCCUCUAGCCUGCUUCCUCUAGGACAUAGAACCUGGAAAUUCUGCUUUGGUGGCUGAAGCAGAUGUCACUGACUUCCUAAUGGUACUCCUGAGCCAAGUGAGCAGCACUUU